UCAACAACAGGUCAAACAGAACAGAGCUCCACGUGCAGAUCAACAACAGGUCAAACAGAAGUCCACGUGCAGAUCAACAACAGUUCAAACAGAAUUCCACGUGCAGAUCAACAACAGGUCAAACAGAACUCCAUGUGCAGAUCAACAACAGG